CUACGGGAGGCAGCAGUAGGGAAUAUUGGGCAAUGGGCGAAAGCCUGACCCAGCCAUGCCGCGUGGAGGAAGACGGCCCACCGGGUUGUAAACUCCUUUUGUCAGGGACGAAAGAGCGCCUGCGGGCGUGUGUUUGACGGUACCUGACGAAUAAGCACCGGCUAACUCCGUGCCAGCAGCCGCGGUAAUACGGAGGGUGCAAGCGUUAUCCGGAUUUACUGGGUUUAAAGGGUGCGUAGGCGGCCUUGUAAGUCCGUGUUGAAAGGCUACGGCUUAACCGUAGUAAGGCAUGGAUACUGCGAGGCUUGAGUACAGUGGGGGCAGAUGGAAUUGGUGGAGUAGCGGUGAAAUGCAUAGAUACCACCAGGAACACCGAUAGCGAAGGCAGUCUG
rnacentral:rRNA from 1 species